rnacentral:rRNA from 1 species
UACGGGGGGGGCAAGCGUUGUUCGGAAUUACUGGGCGUAAAGGGCUCGUAGGCGGCCAACUAAGUCAGACGUGAAAUCCCUCAGCUUAACUGGGGAACUGCGUCUGAUACUGGAUGGCUUGAGUUUGGGAGAGGGAUGCGGAAUUCCAGGUGUAGCGGUGAAAUGCGUAGAUAUCUGGAGGAACACCGGUGGCGAAGGCGGCAUCCUGGACCAACACUGACACUGAGGAGCGAAAGCCAGGGGGAGCAAACGGG